UAUUCUGCCCCACGGGGAAGGAUGAGAAGCUUCGACUAAGGUUCGACUCGAGCGAAGCGAGAGAACGUUGCCGCAGGCAACGGCCCGAAGGGCGAGGCGCUUUAGCGCCGAGUAAUCCUUCCCCCACCAC
rnacentral:sRNA from 1 species